rnacentral:miRNA from 1 species
AUUGGGAACAUUUUGCAUGUAU